UACGUAGGUGGCAAGCGUUGUCCGGAAUUAUUGGGCGUAAAGCGCGCGCAGGCGGUCCCUUAAGUCUGAUGUGAAAGCCCACGGCUCAACCGUGGAGGGUCAUUGGAAACUGGGGGACUUGAGUGCAGAAGAGGAAAGUGGAAUUCUAUGUGUAGCGGUGAAAUGCGUAGAGAUGUGGAGGAACACCAGUGGCGAAGGCGACUUUCUGGUCUGUAACUGACGCUGAGGCGCGAAAGCGUGGGGAGCAAACAGG
rnacentral:rRNA from 1 species